CCUACGGGUGGCAGCAGUAGGGAAUAUUGCUCAAUGGGGGAAACCCUGAAGCAGCAACGCCGCGUGGAGGAUGAAGGUUUUCGGAUUGUAAACUCCUUUUGUUAGAGAAGAUAAUGACGGUAUCUAACGAAUAAGCACCGGCUAACUCCGUGCCAGCAGCCGCGGUAAUACGGAGGGUGCAAGCGUUACGCGGAAUCACUGGGCGUAAAGAGCGCGUAGGCGGGAUAGUAAGUCAGAGGUGAAAUCCUAGGGCUUAACCAUAGAACUGCAUCUGAAACGGUGAUUCUAGAGUAUGGGAGAGGUAGGUGGAAUUCUUGGUGUAGGGGUAAAAUCCGUAGAGAUCAAGAGGAAUACUCAUUGCGAAGGCGACCUGCUAGAACAUAACUGACGCUGAUGCGCGAAAGCGUGGGGAGCAAACAGGAUUAGAUACCCGGGUAGUC
rnacentral:rRNA from 1 species